UACGUAGGUGGCAAGCGUUGUCCGGAUUUACUGGGCGUAAAGAGCGCGCAGGCGGUCGUUCAAGUCGCGUGUGAAAGCCCCCGGCUCAACUGGGGAGGGUCACGCGAUACUGAUCGACUCGAAGGCAGGAGAGGGUAGUGGAAUUCCCGGUGUAGUGGUGAAAUGCGUAGAGAUGUGGAGGAAUACCGAUGGCGAAGGCAGCCCCCUGGGAUGAUACUGACGCUCAUGCACGAAAGCGUGGGGAGCAAACAGG
rnacentral:rRNA from 1 species